UGGCGGCUGGGAGGGGCAAAAUGGCUCUGGGUUUGUAGUGCCUCCUGGGCAUGGCUGCUGUGGCUGUCACAUACACAAGGCCAACCCAGGGAUUUCAAAUGGAUUUUGCAUGAACACAUGUUUUCAUACGGAUACAAAGCACCAAGCAAUGCCCCAAGCAAAGUUCACCAUGUUAAAAGGAAACUGCGGUUUCAGAGGGUUUUCAGCAUCCUCCAGCAACAGUAACUUACAAAACCAAUUCUUCAUCUGCCACCAAAACACCAAAGGAAAGAGGAUGUGGCACCAGCCCAAAUGAAAUGCCAGAAAUUUCAUGCAAAACCUGUGGAAAUCAUUUCUCCAGUUCUUACAAAAGCCACUUUCCUGAUUCCCUGGUUCCAGAGCAUGAAGCAGGAGGCACCCAGCAGCAUCCCUGACACCAC